ACCUGACUGGCUCAGUUGGUAGAGCAUGUGACUCUUGAUCUUGGGAUCGUGAGUUCAAACCCCACACUGGGUG
rnacentral:tRNA from 1 species